GGAACAAUCAUCCCAACCCCAGCAAAGAAUCACACUGCAAAACAUCCUGUGGUAUGACAGGGUCUGCUCGUGGGUAGGCAGGCUCCGCUGAUCAGCCAUCAACAUGUCUACGCUGUAACUGGAACUUUGCGGAAACCGUUUCGUGGGAUCCGAGGCCGCCGCCUCCGCAGGUUAAAGGGGAGCACGCAUUUACUCAUCCGCCCCAGGGACCCCACCGCCCCGCACCUGAGAUCUGCACCGCCUGGAAGCGGGGCACGCAGGCCAAGAAGCCGCUGACGCUCUCGCAGCCCUCGGGGAAGGUGACCAGGCGGCUGUCCAGCACACGCAGGCUGGGGUUCACGAACACGCGCAGGGGGAAGGUUUCCAUCUGACGGGCCUCGCGCACGCGCGGGGCGCAUGCGCGGAAGAGCGCCUCGGGGAACUCGAGCGCCAGCACCUGCAACGGCACUCCGAGUUGCGGCGCGCUCAAGCCCACGCAGCGGCGGUGCCGCAUCACCUGCACCAGCCGCUGCACCAGCCGCUGCAGCUCGGGUCCCGCCAGCUGCGUCGGCUCUACUGGGGCCGCCACGGCCCGCAGCGCCGGGUCCCCGACCUGGCACACGCGCGGGUACGGCGGCUCCGGCGCUCCCUGCACCAGACGCCGCACGUAGCGCCAGUAGGAGCGCCGGCGCGCCGGGCCCUCGAGGCCAUCCGGGGGGGGCGUGGAGCUGCAGGCCCGGGCGCCGCCGCCCGCUACCCGCUCUCCCCCCUGCAAGGCCGGCCCCACGCAGCCACGCGCCAGCAGCCACCGCAGCAGCAGGCCAGCCCCCAGCUGACCCAUGGCGCGUGGAGCAGAGCCGCCCGCCCGGACGCGUCCCUCGCCGGCCCCCAUAGCCCCUAGCUGACCCAUGGCGCGUGGAGCCUAGCCACCCGCCCGCCCGCGUCCCUCGCCGGCUCCCGUAGCCGAAGCUCCCGCCCCCAGGAAUGCCGGGAAGUGCAGUUCCCGCGGGCCUUCCGGGAACGCCGGCGCCGCUCACACUUCGCAGCCUGCCUGUGGGUGGUGUCCAUCACCUUUAUUAUUUAAUUCCAUUUCUGAUAGUUUAAUCAAGCAUUUACAAGAAUAACCAGGAAGUUCUCCCUUUAAUUAUGCCUUCGCAGCCUCUCCCACGCGUGGCAACUCACGUUCCCACCGGGCGCUGCAGUAAGCAAGCCCCUCGGCCGCCGGGGCCCCAGUAACCGCCGCACCGGCCCGGGCGCAGGGGGCGCCUGUCAAGUGCCUGCACUAGGCUCGUCGGCCUGCGGCGGUCCCGCGGAUCCCACCUCCUGUUGCCCCCCGUCAGGGAAAGCCGGGGUGACAGGUUCGAGGACUGGCCCCUCGGCGGGGGGUUCUGGUGCUGGAGCUGUGAGCUCGGGGACUAGCGCCUUGUCGUCUAGACAGAAGGCCAUCUCUCUCUUCGGCAGGAUAAAGGCCAGAGGCUCCUGGACGACGCUGACGUUCACAUGCCCCAGGUUUCCGUACUUGGAGAGCUGAGUGGGUGGAAUGCCUGGCCCAGAUGGUCUGUGCCAUCUGAGCUGGAGGAAAAAGGACUUGGAGACAGCGAUUUAAAUAAGGAACGAGGUCUUCCAGGAAGACAGUGCAGAACUGGACGAAGAGCUCUUGCUCUGCACUGCUGAAGGCAGCCUCUUCGGCACGAUGGAAGGCCAAGAUUACUUUUGUUACCUAAGAGACAAGGGCACCAUCAAUCACUGGUGCAGUUUCCAGUUCCAGUGGAGGAGCAUCAUGAAAUUAUACACAGAAUACAUUGUUUUUGGCUCCCAUGGGAGAUGGACCAGAACUAUGGUGGAUCCAGGAAGAUGAAGCAACACUACAAAAGGAGGACAUCAACAGAAAGAUUUUAUACAACCACGUCACAACUGCCACCUGGUUGACAGCGACUGUAAGAUGUCGUCAAUUAUAAGCAGCACCCAAUAUCUAAAGAUUUAAUGUGUAAAAAUGUGCACCAUACUCAGAUAUUAGCAAUAUUGGUAGUAUUACUUGUAUUAGGCAGAAUUCUAAUAUGGCUCUUGUAAUCCCCGCCCCCUGGUAUCCAUUCCUUUGUGUAAUCUCCUCCCCUUGAGUGCAGGCAGAAUCUCUGACUUGUUUCUAACCACAGAAUAUGGCAAAGGUGAAGGAUUUGGCAGUUUUAAUUAACAUCCCUAACCGGCUGAUUGAAUUAAUGAAAAGGGAGGUUAUCCUGGGUGGGCCUACCCUAAUUAGAUGAGCCUCUUAAAAGAGGGUUGAGGACUCCCCUAAAGGAGACUUAGCAAGGAGAGAUGCUCUCCCAUUGACCCUGAAGAAUCAAAAAGCUACACUGAACUGCCUAUGGAGUGGGCUGGUCUCUAGGAGUUGAGGGCCUCAGUCCUACAACUGUAAGGAACAGAAAUCUGCCACUGUGAGUGAGCUUGAAAGGAGGGGACCCUGAGCUCCAGAUGAGUCCACAGCCUGGCCAAUAACUUGAUUGCAACCUUGUGAGCAGAGGACCAACCCAUUUAGGCUGUGCCUGGACUCCUGACCGAAAGAAACUGAGACAUGAUAAAUGUGUGUUGUUUUAA